CUUAAUUUUUUUAUACCUUGUACAAUUAAAUCAAAUGUGACGAAUCACCAAAAUAUGCGAAAAACAUUACAAUAAUGAUCGUAGACAUUAACAGAUUAUCGUUAUCAGCAGAGAUAAUUUUAGGGGUUUUGUUCACAUCAUCAUGAAACGUGCAAUUUUAUAGUUCACAUCUGAUCAUUUAAAAGUAAUAAUUCAUAAAGAAUUCAACCAAAGAAACAAAUUCACAGUUAUUUUUUUUAUUGUCGUCAUAUGUUUAUUUGAAAUAUGCCUCUUUUUGGGAAAUCUCAAAAAAAUCCAGUUGAAGUGGUGAAGCAACUUAAAGAAGCCAUUGUUGCAUUAGAAAAAGGCGAUAAAAAACUAGAGAAAGCACAAGAAGAUGUGAGCAAAAAUCUUUUGAUCAUCAAAAAUUUGUUGUAUGGUACCGCAGAUACUGAGCCCCUAUCUGACAUAGUUGUAGCACAAUUGGCACAAGAAAUGUAUAAUAACAAUUUGUUGCUCAUGAUGAUACAAAAUUUAACAAAAAUAGAUUUUGAAGGUAAAAAAGAUGUUGCUCAAGUUUUUAAUAAUGUUCUUCGACGGCAAUUAGGCAGCAGAUCUCCUACUGUUGAACAUAUUUGUGCAAAAUCUGAAAUUUUAUUCACUCUCAUAGCUGGAUAUGAACAUCAGGAAAUUGCAUUAAAUUGUGGUACUAUGUUGCGUGAAUGUGCUAGAUAUGAAGCAUUAGCAAAAAUAAUGCUGUACGCUAAAGAAUUUUUUAACUUCUUUCGUUAUGUAGAGGUAUCUACUUUUGAUAUAGCUUCAGAUGCAUUCUCUACUUUUAAAGAGUUAUUAACUAGACAUAAACCACUGUGUGCCGAAUUUCUUGAAAUGAAUUAUGAUAAGGUUUUUACUCAUUAUCAACAACUAUUAAACUCUGAAAAUUAUGUUACUCGGAGGCAAAGUCUUAAGUUACUUGGAGAAUUACUCCUAGAUCGUCAUAACUUCACUGUAAUGACUCGAUACAUAUCAAAUCCUGAUAAUUUAAAACUAAUGAUGAAUAUGUUAAAAGAAAAGUCUAGAAAUAUUCAAUUUGAAGCUUUCCAUGUUUUUAAGGUAUUUGUUGCAAAUCCAAACAAACCUAAACCUAUUCUUGAUAUCUUACUGCGUAAUCAAGAUAAACUUGUUGAGUUCUUGACCCGAUUUCAUACAGAAAGAUCUGAAGAUGAGCAAUUCAAUGACGAAAAAGCUUAUCUAAUUAAACAAAUAAAAGAGCUGAAGGUAGCACCAUCCGAUCAAUGAUUUAUUGUUUUUCACUACAUUACAGCUUUAUAUUUUGUAAUCGUUAAGUCACAUGUUAAGAAAGCUUAACAUUACUUAGGGGUAUGGAUUAAAAUUAACGAAUUAUUUGGCGUUGCUAUUAUUUGACAUAUUUAAUGAAGUAAACAAUGAAAUAAUUCUACUAAAUUAUUAAAAAAUGUUAUAUUGUAGAAUACUUGGUAGAAAAUCUAAAUAAAUUAUUUAUUAACUGUUUUAUACUAAAAAAAUGUAUAUACAAAAUUAUAUUAUAUACAAAACUUUGAACAU